GACGAACGCUGGCGGCGUGCUUAACACAUGCAAGUCGAACGGAAAGGCCCUGCUUUUGUGGGGUGCUCGAGUGGCGAACGGGUGAGUAACACGUGAGUAACCUGCCCUUGACUUUGGGAUAACUUCAGGAAACUGGGGCUAAUACCGGAUAGGAGCUCCUGCUGCAUGGUGGGGGGUGGAAAGUUUCGGCGGUUGGGGAUGGACUAGCGGCUUAUCAGCUUGUUGGUUGGGUAGUGGCUUACCAAGGCUUUGACGGGUGACCGGCCUGAGAGGGUGACCGGCCACAUUGGGCCUGAGAUACGGCCCAGACUCCUACGGGAGGCAGCAGUGGGGAAUAUUGCACAAUGGGCGGACGCCUGAUGCAGCAACGCCGCGUGCGGGAUGACGGCCUUCGGGUUGUAAACCGCUUUCGCCUGUGACGAAGCGUGAGUGACGGUAAUGGGUAAAGAAGCACCGGCUAACUACGUG
rnacentral:rRNA from 1 species